GGAGGUGAAUGGAGCCUGGUGGCUUCCCUGGUCUUCAAAACCAGUGGCUCGGCGAACCCGGGCGGUGGGUUCGAUUCCCAUCCACCUCCGCCA
rnacentral:tRNA from 1 species